rnacentral:rRNA from 1 species
AUUGAACGCUGGCGGCAGGCCUAACACAUGCAAGUCGAACGAGUGGCGGACGGGUGAGUAAUGUCUGGGAAACUGCCUGAUGGAGGGGGAUAACUACUGGAAACGGUAGCUAAUACCGCAUACCAUCGGAUGUGCCCAGAUGGGCUUAGCUAGUAGGUGGGGUAACGGCUCACCUAGGCGACAAACCCUAGCUGGUUGGAGAGGAUGACCAGCAACACGGGAACUGGGACACGGUCCAGACUCCGACGGAGGGCAGCAGUGGGGAAUAUUGCAAAAUGGGCGAAAGCCUGAUGCGGCCAGGCCGCGUGUAUGAAGAAGGCCUUCGGGUUGUAAAGUACUUUGAGCGGGGAGGCGUUACCCGCAGAAGAAGCACCGGCUAACUCCGUGCCAGCCGCCGCGGUAAUUC